GGAACGAGUGUUCGGAUCUUUGAGCAACGACCUUACCUCUCUGGACGAUUUUAGUAAGAUCGUCCCUAUCUUGCAUUGUAUGGACGAUUACCAUUUUGGUCGGGCUUAUCAGCUGCCCCCCUAUUCCAUGGUCGUCCAUUAUUUGGACGAUUAUAGGAAUAUGAAAAGAUUGUUAUUUAUUUUUCAGAAAUGGCGCUUCGAGUUCUGCUCCGCAUUGAUUGCGUAGUGGCGGCUGUGGCUCCUCUCAGUGCCACGUGUCAGAUUUCUACUGGUGGGAGUGCCUCGUUUCCGGUGAGUGCCUUUUCAGUUUUCCCGCACUUUCCAAGGCAGAAACCUUUGAUUUCUUUUGGCUUUUCCUUUUUGCAUUUCCUCAUUGCAAUUGAUCUCCCUUACGCAUAUUUUGCUCCUCACCUCCUCAGUUUCCUCCCUAACUUCCAGUGAAAGACCGUCCGGAGCUAGAGGCCAAGUUUGCAAAGCGAGUGCAGGCUGCUCUUGAAUACGCAAGGACGAUAGAAGAUUUUGGUGAGCUGAUUGAUCCGCGAACCUUGGCUCGUCACUGCCUGGGACCAGAACCUUCACUUUACGUUCUCAGUACCCUUGACCGUGAAGAGAGAAAACAAAUGACUUCGAAAUUCAACAAGGAGAUGUAUGAUAAAAUUAAGGGCAAAAAGAAUGAGCCCCUGUCCAGCAUAGGCCAGAAGAGGCUGAGAAUCACAGAUAAGGAGAAGGAGAAAGAGGUGGAGGCGAGAGGGUCGUCCACACCAACCCUUGGUCUGGACGAAGGUCUGGUUGCAUCUCCUGGUGUUUCAAUCGAGGAGGUUGCUCGUCCUUCGAAGAAGCAGAAAGCUGCUAGCAAGGGGAAAGGAAGAGCUGAUGCCAGCGUUUGGUCAGAUGCAGGGACGACCAUGGACCGUGCUACCGAGCUCUUUACUCCUGCUGAGAU